CAGGUGACAUCCCCAGAUGAUCCCGGCCCUGGUGGCCCCCAGGUGACAUCCCCAGGUGAUCCUGGCCAUGGUGGCCCCCAGGUGACAUCCCCAGCUGGUCCCAGUGGUGGCCACGCUGUCCCUCCCUGCCGAUCCCAGCCAUGGCCACCCCCCAGGUGCCACCCCCCGCUUUGUCCCUGUCCCCAUCCCGGGGCCAUUCCCGGGGCCAUUCCCGGGGACCCUCGGGGCCACCCCGGGGCCAUUCCCGGCGCCUCUGGAAUUGUCCCCAAGGUGGGGACCCCCCCAGGACCCCCCCAUGUCCCAGCCCUGGACCAAACGGGGACACUGCAGCUCCUUCCUCUCUCAUUUUUUUGUGGUUUCUUCCUCUUUUUUUUGAUUUUUUUUCCCCUUUUAUUUCUCUUUUUUUUCCUCUUUUUUUUUCCUCUUUUCCCCCCCUUUUAUUUCUCUUUUUUUCCCUCUUUUUUUCUCUUUUUUUCUCUUUUUUCCUCUUUUUUUCCCCUUUUAUUUCUCUUUUUUUCUCUUUUUUCCUCUUUUUUUUCUCUUUUCCCCCCUUUUUCUCUCUUUUUCCCUCUUUUUUUUCUUUUUUCUGUUUUUCCUCUUUUUUUCCUCUUUUUUUCCUCUUUUUUCCUCUUUUUCCUCUUUUUCCUCUUUUUUCCUCUUUUUUCCUCUUUUUCCCUCUUUUUCCCUCUUUUCCCCCC
rnacentral:lncRNA from 13 species